ensembl:lncRNA
AUGAUAAUUAAAUCAAGAAUAGUGGCACUUGGUGUUGUGUACUAUUUUCCAGAUACAUUUAACAUUAGUGUGUACAAUAUUGCCUGUGUGUAUGGUCUGUUUGCUGGGAGAGAGAGGGAAGUAUACUACAGUAAUGGUUUGUAUGGUCUGUUUGCUGGGUUAGAGAGGGAAGUAUACUACAGUAAUAGUUUGUAUGGUCUGUUUGCUGGGAGAGAGAGGGAAGUAUACUACAGUAAUGGUUUGUAUGGUCUGUUUGCUGGGUUAGAGAGGGAAGUAUACUACAGUAAUGGUUUGUAUGGUCUGUUUGCUGGGAGAGAGAGGGAAGUAUACUACAGUAAUGGUUUGUAUGGUCUGUUUGCUGGGUUAGAGAGGGAAGUAUACUACAGUAAUGGUUUGUAUGGUCUGUUUGCUGGGAGAGAGAGGGAAGUAUACUACAGUAAUGGUUUGUAUGGUCUGUUUGCUGGGUUAGAGAGGGAAGUAUACUACAGUAAUGGUUUGUAUGGUCUGUUUGCUGGGAGAGAGAGGGAAGUAUACUACAGUAAUGGUUUGUAUGGUCUGUUUGCUGGGAGAGAGAGGGAAGUAUACUACAGUAAUGGUUUGUAUGGUCUGUUUGCUGGGAGAGAGAGGGAAGUAUACUACAGUAAUGGUUUGUAUGGUCUGUUUGCUGGGAGAGAGAGGGAAGUAUACUACAGUAAUGGUUUGUAUGGUCUGUUUGCUGGGAGAGAGAGGGAAGUAUACUACAGUAAUGGUUUGUAUGGUCUGUUUGCUGGGUUAGAGAGGGAAGUACACUACAGUAAUGGUUUGUAUGGUCUGUUUGCUGGGUUAGAGAGGGAAGUAUACUACAGUAAUGGUUUGUAUGGUCUGUUUGCUGGGAGAGAGAGGGAAGUAUACUACAGUAAUGGUUUGUAUGGUCUGUUUGCUGGGAGAGAGAGGGAAGUAUACUACAGUAAUGGUUUGUAUGGUCUGUUUGCUGGGUUAGAGAGGGAAGUAUACUACAGUAAUGGUUUGUAUGGUCUGUUUGCUGGGUUAGAGAGGGAAGUAUACUACAGUAAUGGUUUGUCUGUUCUGUUUGCUGGGUUAGAGAGGGAAGUAUACUACAGUAAUGGUUUGUAUGGUCUGUUUGCUGGGAGAGAGAGGGAAGUAUACUACAGUAAUGGUUUGUAUGGUCUGUUUGCUGGGAGAGAGAGGGAAGUAUACUACAGUAAUGGUUUGUAUGGUCUGUUUGCUGGGAGAGAGAGGGAAGUAUACUACAGUAAUGGUUUGUAUGGUCUGUUUGCUGGGAGAGAGAGGGAAGUAUACUACAGUAAUGGUUUGUAUGGUCUGUUUGCUGGGAGAGAGAGGGAAGUAUACUACAGUAAUGGUUUGUAUGGUCUGUUCUGUUUGCUGGGUUAG